rnacentral:rRNA from 1 species
GACGAACGCUGGCGGCGUGCUUAACACAUGCAAGUCGAACGGUGAAGCUCCAGCUUGCUGGAGUGGAUCAGUGGCGAACGGGUGAGCAACACGUGGGCAACCUGCCCCUGACUCUGGAAUAAGCGCUGGAAACGGCGUCUAAUACUGGAUACGAGAAGGGUCCGCAUGGGCACUUUCUGGAAAGUUUUUCGGUUGGGGAUGGGCUCGCGGCCUAUCAGCUUGUUGGUGAGGUAAUGGCUCACCAAGGCGACGACGGGUAGCCGGCCUGAGAGGGCGACCGGCCACACUGGGACUGAGACACGGCCCAGACUCCUACGGGAGGCAGCAGUGGGGAAUAUUGCACAAUGGGCGAAAGCCUGAUGCAGCGACGCCGCGUGAGGGAUGACGGCCUUCGGGUUGUAAACCCCUUUCAGCAGGGAAGAAGCGAAAGUGACGGUACCUGCAGAAGAAGCACCGGCUAACUACGUG